UGCUGAAAGCAUCUAAGCAUGAAGCCCCCCUCAAGAUGAGAUUUCCCAUAGCGUAAGCUAGUAAGAUCCCUGAAAGAUGAUCAGGUUGAUAGGUUCGAGGUGGAAGCAUGGUGACAUGUGGAGCUGACGAAUACUAAUAGAUCGAGGACUUAACCAUAUAA
rnacentral:rRNA from 1 species